rnacentral:lncRNA from 1 species
CAGGGCUGCAAAUGCAGGGAAAGCAUCUUGAGGAAGAUGUGGGUGUUAAGAAGGUCUGGGAAGAGCAGGUAUGGCUGUAAGCGAAGUCACACAGCGGCCCCGCAUUGCCAGAUGAGGAUCGUACGGCUCAUCUCCAACCAGAGAGAAAUCACAAGUAGAUGGAGAGGCAGGAAGAGAGAGAGGGACGCAGGCUCCCCGCUGAGCAGAGAGCCCGACGCGGGACUCGAUCCCAGGACCCUGGGAUCAUGACCUGAGCCGAAGGCAGUGGCUUAACCCACUGAGCCACCCAGGCGCCCCCAUCUCUUAGGAUGUAUUACAUUAUGAAUAUUUCAAGCAAGUUUUAUUAUUUUUGGUUUGUUUACUCUGGAUACCCAAAUCAUCUUUAUAAUAAAGCACAUAAAACAUGUUAAAAAGUGUAAAGAAAGUACCAUAUGAUCUUAAUAGCAUAAAAUGGGUUUGCAUUAAAAUAUUUCCUUUAUGACAAUUAUCAUAUGAUCUCUCUGAUAUGAGGAAAACUUGAGAAGCAGGGCGGGGGUUGGUAGUGGGUAGAGAAGGAAAAAAAUGAAACAAGAUGGGAUUGGGAGAGAGACAAACCAUAAGAGACUCUUAAUCUCACAAAACAAACUGUGGGUUGCUGGGGGGAGAGGGAGAUGGGGUGGCUGGGUGAUGGACAAUGGGGAAGGUAUGUGCUAUGGUGAGUGCUGUGAAGUGUGUAAGUCUGAUGAUUCGCAGACCUG